rnacentral:lncRNA from 10 species
CGCACAUUCUGACGAGGACGAGGGUGGUGCAUAACGCGGAGGUCAAUUUUGCACAGUCCAGGCAAAAGAGACCCCCCCCCCCCACCAACAUCCCUUCCUGUUCAGUUUCCCUCUCUGGCCCAGCGCGAAGGGCGAGGGGCGACAGAAGCCCGAGGGACAGAAAACCGAGGCUCCUCAGUGGCCGAGUUGGGAGAGAGUUGCAAUACAGUUGACCCUUGGACAACAUGGAUUGGAACCGUGCAGGUCUACUAACUAAUACACAGAUUCUCUUCCACCUAUGCCACCCUUGAGACAGCAAGACCAACCCCUCCUCUUCCUCCUCCUUUUCAGUCCACUCAAUGUGAAGACAAGGAAAAUGAAGAACUUUAUGAUGAUCCAUGCUAUUAGUCUGUUCUCACACCGCUAAUAAAGACAUACCCGAGACUGGGUAAUUUAUAAAAGAAAGAGGUUUAAUGGACUCACAGUUCUACAUGGCUGCGGAAGCCCCACAAUCAUGAUGGAAAGCAAAGGAGGAGCAAAGUCACGUCUCACAUGGUAGCAGGCAAGAG